ACUCAAAACUCAAAGGACUUGACGGUGUCCCAAACCAACCUAGAGGAGCCUGUCCUAUAAUCGAUAAUCCACGUUACACCUCACCCCCUCUUGAAACCAGCCUGUAUACCGCCGUCUUUCAGUUCGCCUUAUGACAGACCCAAAGCGAACACAACAGCCCACCACUAAAACGUCAGGUCAAGGUGCAGCCAAUGAGGGGGCAGCGAUGGGCUACAUUUUCUAACACAACAGAACACCACCAGCCACCACAUGAAAUAUGGGUUACAAGGCGGAUUUAGCAGUAAGCCAAACA
rnacentral:rRNA from 1 species